rnacentral:sRNA from 1 species
UACAAUUGAAUCUUGGGUGGGCAUGGUUUUCCUUCGAAAGGAGGUGAAGCCAUGGAGGUAAAAGAUGCAUUGACAAUUAUGUUCCUAUUUGGAAUGUUCAUUCUUGCUCUUUUAACAUACAUUAACAGCAACAAGAGAAAAUAAAAACCCACCCAAGAUUAGAAGCAAAAGGUGGGUUUUUGUUCCUAUGUGACUUUGAAGGGAUUUAACCAUCCAAGCCAAUUGUACUGACCAAGUGUUAGCUGCACUUGGU